rnacentral:rRNA from 1 species
UUCCGGUUGAUCCUGCCGGAGGCCAUUGCUAUCGGAGUCCGAUUUAGCCAUGCUAGUUGUGCGGGUUUAGACCCGCAGCGGAAAGCUCAGUAACACGUGGCUAAACUACCCUGUGGAUGGGAACAAUCUCGGGAAACUGAGGCUAAUUCCCACUAAUGCUCGACCCCUGGAAUGGGUCGAGCUGGAAACGCUACGGCGCCACAGGAUGUGGCUGCGGCCGAUUAGGUAGACGGUGGGGUAACGGCCCACCGUGCCCAUAAUCGGUACGGGUUGUGAGAGCAAGAGCCCGGAGACGGAAUCUGAGACAAGAUUCCGGGCCCUACGGGGCGCAGCAGGCGCGAAACCUUUACACUGCACGACAGUGCGAUAGGGGGACUCCGAGUGCGAGGGCAUAGAGCCCUCGCUUUUCUGCACCCUAAGGUGGUGCAGGAACAAGGGCUGGGCAAGACCGGUGCCAGCCGCCGCGGUAAUACCGGCAGCCCAAGUGAUGGCCGAUAUUA